rnacentral:rRNA from 1 species
AGAGUUUGAUCAUGGCUCAGGACGAACGCUGGCGGCGUGCUUAACACAUGCAAGUCGAGCGGAAAGGCUCCUUCGGGGGUACUCGAGCGGCGAACGGGUGAGUAACACGCGAGUAAUCUGCCCUGUGCUCUGGGAUAGCCACCGGAAACGGUGAUUAAUACCGGAUAUGACGCUGUCACGCAUGUGGUGGUGUGGAAAGUUUUUUCGGCGCAGGAUGUGCUCGCGGCCUAUCAGCUUGUUGGUGAGGUAAUGGCUUACCAAGGCUUUGACGGGUAGCCGGCCUGAGAGGGUGACCGGUCACACUGGGACUGAGACACGGCCCAGACUCCUACGGGAGGCAGCAGUGGGGAAUAUUGGACAAUGGGCGGAAGCCUGAUCCAGCAACGCCGCGUGAGGGAUGACGGCCUUCGGGUUGUAAACCUCUUUCAGUACCGACGAAGCUUUUCUUUUGGGAGGGUGACGGUAGGUACAGAAGAAGGACCGGCCAACUACGUGCCAGCAGCCGCGGUAAUACGUAGGGUCCGAGCGUUGUCCGGAAUUAUUGGGCGUAAAGGGCUCGUAGGCGGUUUGUCGCGUCGGGAGUGAAAACCAUGGGCUUAACUCAUGGCUUGCUUUCGAUACGGGCAGACUAGAGGUAUGCAGGGGAGAAUGGAAUUCCUGGUGUAGCGGUGAAAUGCGCAGAUAUCAGGAGGAACACCGGUGGCGAAGGCGGUUCUCUGGGCAUUACCUGACGCUGAGGAGCGAAAGUGUGGGGAGCGAACAGGAUUAGAUACCCUGGUAGUCC